rnacentral:rRNA from 1 species
AUUGAACGCUGGCGGCAUGCCUUACACAUGCAAGUCGAACGGUAACAGGUCUUCGGAUGCUGACGAGUGGCGAACGGGUGAGUAAUACAUCGGAACGUGCCCGAUCGUGGGGGAUAACGCAGCGAAAGCUGUGCUAAUACCGCAUACGAUCUACGGAUGAAAGCGGGGGAUCGCAAGACCUCGCGCGGACGGAGCGGCCGAUAGCAGAUUAGGUAGUUGGUGGGAUAAAAGCUUACCAAGCCGACGAUCUGUAGCUGGUCUGAGAGGACGACCAGCCACACUGGGACUGAGACACGGCCCAGACUCCUACGGGAGGCAGCAGUGGGGAAUUUUGGACAAUGGGCGCAAGCCUGAUCCAGCCAUGCCGCGUGCAGGAUGAAGGCCUUCGGGUUGUAAACUGCUUUUGUACGGAACGAAAAAGCUCUCUCUAAUACAGGGGGUGAAUGACGGUACCGUAAGAAUAAGCACCGGCUAACUACGUG